rnacentral:rRNA from 1 species
AUUGAACGCUGGCGGCAGGCCUAACACAUGCAAGUCGAACGGUAACAGGAAACAGCUUGCUGUUUCGCUGACGAGUGGCGGACGGGUGAGUAAUGUCUGGGAAACUGCCUGAUGGAGGGGGAUAACUACUGGAAACGGUAGCUGAUACCGCAUAACGUCGCAAGACCAAAGAGGGGGACCUUCGGGCCUCUUGCCAUCGGAUGUGCCCGGAUGGGAUUAGCUAGUAGGUGGGGUAACGGCUCACCUAGGCGACGAUCCCUAGCUGGUCUGAGAGGAUGACCAGCCACACUGGAACUGAGACACGGUCCAGACUCCUACGGGAGGCAGCAGUGGGGAAUAUUGCACAAUGGGCGCAAGCCUGAUGCAGCCAUGCCGCGUGUAUGAAGAAGGCCUUCGGGUUGUAAAGUACUUUCAGCGGGGAGGAAGGGAGUAAAGUCAAUACCUUUGCUCAUUGACGUUACCCGCAGAAGAAGCACCGGCUAACUCCGUGCCAGCAGCCGCAGUAA